rnacentral:rRNA from 1 species
CCUACGGGAGGCAGCAGUAGGGAAUCUUCCGCAAUGGACGAAAGUCUGACGGAGCAACGCCGCGUGAACGAUGAAGGCCUUCGGGUCGUAAAGUUCUGUUGUUAGGGAAGAACAAGUGCUAGUUAAAUAAGCUGGCACCUUGACGGUACCUAACCAGAAAGCCACGGCUAACUACGUGCCAGCAGCCGCGGUAAUACGUAGGUGGCAAGCGUUGUCCGGAAUUAUUGGGCGUAAAGCGCGCGCAGGCGGUUUCUUAAGUCUGAUGUGAAAGCCCCCGGCUCAACCGGGGAGGGUCAUUGGAAACUGGGAAACUUGAGUGCAGAAGAGGAAAGUGGAAUUCCAAGUGUAGCGGUGAAAUGCGUAGAGAUUUGGAGGAACACCAGUGGCGAAGGCGACUUUCUGGUCUGUAACUGACGCUGAGGCGCGAAAGCGUGGGGAGCAAACAGGAUUAGAUACCCUGGUAGUCCACGCUGUAAACGAUGAGUGCUAAGUGUUAGAGGGUUUCCGCCCUUUUAGUGCUGAAGUUAACGCAUUAAGCACUCCGCCUGGGGAAGCGGUCGCAAGACUGAACUCAAAGGAUUGACGGCUGNGAGNGCCGACGACGACGACGAGGGAGGAGG